rnacentral:rRNA from 1 species
UAGAGUUUGAUCAUGGCUCAGAUUGAACGCUGGCGGCAGGCCUAACACAUGCAAGUCGAGCGGUAACAGAUUGAUAGCUUGCUAUCAAUGCUGACGAGCGGCGGACGGGUGAGUAAUGCCUGGGAAUAUGCCCUGAUGUGGGGGAUAACUAUUGGAAACGAUAGCUAAUACCGCAUAAUCUCUUCGGAGCAAAGAGGGGGACCUUCGGGCCUCUCGCGUCAGGAUUAGCCCAGGUGGGAUUAGCUUGUUGGUGGGGUAAUGGCUCACCAAGGCGACGAUCCCUAGCUGGUCUGAGAGGAUGAUCAGCCACACUGGAACUGAGACACGGUCCAGACUCCUACGGGAGGCAGCAGUGGGGAAUAUUGCACAAUGGGGGAAACCCUGAUGCAGCCAUGCCGCGUGUAUGAAGAAGGCCUUCGGGUUGUAAAGUACUUUCAGUUGUGAGGAAGGCAGUAAAGUUAAUAGCUUUAUUGCUUGACGUUAGCAACAGAAGAAGCACCGGCUAACUCCGUGCCAGCAGCCGCGGUAAUACGGAGGGUGCGAGCGUUAAUCGGAAUUACUGGGCGUAAAGCGCGUGCAGGUGGUCUGUUAAGCAAGAUGUGAAAACCCGGGGCUCAACCUCGGAACAGCAUUUUGAACUGGCAGACUAGAGUACUGUAGAGGGGGGUAGAAUUUCA